rnacentral:rRNA from 1 species
CACGUAGGCGGCCUUGCAAGUCAGAUGUGAAAUCCAACGGCUUAACCGUUGAACUGCAUUUGAAACUGCAAGGCUAGAGUAUGGGAGAGGUAGGUGGAAUUCUCGGUGUAGGGGUAAAAUCCGUAGAGAUCGAGAGGAAUACUCAUUGCGAAGGCGACCUGCUGGAACAUUACUGACGCUGAGGUGCGAAAGCGUGGGGAGCAAACA